rnacentral:antisense_RNA from 1 species
ACCAGCUCGGUCGAGGUCUUGUGCAGGAAGUCCUCACGGGCCCGGCGGACCUUGCCAUGCGCCACGGCAACCUUACGGGCCGCCUUCUUCCGGUUGGCCGAGCCCCGGCACGUACGCGCCUUACGCCGCUCAUAGCGAGCCAGGUUCCUACGCUUGCGCUCAAGGUGCCGCGGGUUGGCGAUCCGCUGCCCGUCCGAGGUGACGGCGAAGUCCUUGAUCCCCAGGUCGAUGCCGACCACGUCACCGGUCUGGGCAAACGGCUCGGGAUCGUCGGUAUCGACGGCGAAGGACACAUACCACAUGCCGUCCCGCUCACGGGAGAGGGUCACCGUUGUCGGAUGGAGCGACGCCACGUCGAUGUCGGGCCAGGACCAUACGAAACGGAGCGCCCCCCGGGGUCUUCGCCACGUACAGCUCCGCAUCCUGCAUGCGGAAGGCAGAGCGGGUGUAUGCGGCGGACUGCUUCCCCUCGCGGGACUUGUAGCGCGGGUAACGGGCGCGCUGGGCGAAGAAGUUCGCGAACGCGGUGGACUGGUGCCGCAGUGUCUGCUGGAGCGGAACCGAGGAGACCUCGGAGAGGAACGCCAGGUCCUUGG